rnacentral:rRNA from 2 species
GUCCUGACCAAGUCUCGUGCCAGCAGUCGCGGUAAUACGAGGAGGGCAAGCGUUAAUCAUAUUAAUUAGGUCUAAAGGGUUCGUAGACGGUCUCAUAAAUUAUUAAAAAAAAUAAAAUUGUGAAACUAGAGUAGUAUUAAAGAGGUUAGAAUUUUAAAUGGAAAGGUUGAAUUUAAAUAAUUAAAAGACUGCCCAGCGAAAGCAUAUCUCUGAAUAUUAACUGACGUUGAGGGACUAAAGCUAGGGUAGCAAAGCGGAUUCGAUACCCGCGUAGUCCUAGCCAUAAACGAUGAAUGCUAGAUAUAUCGCCUUGUUUAAAUACAUGGCUUUAUAACAAAGUGAAGACGUUAAGCAUUCCACCUGGAGAGUACGUUCGCAAGGAUGAAAUCCAAGACAUUAGGCGGUUGUAGGCCCCAGCAGUUAAGCAU